UCCUCGAUUCCAACCGCCGGAGCCAUGAAUCGACGCAGGAAAGAACAAUACGAUGCUCCCUAUGGACUACACUGCCUAUUCGUGACCACCGCCAUGUCUUUCCGACCUUGUCUGCCCUGGUGGCAUCGCUGCUGGUUGGGAUUCAACUCUGGCAUCGCUUGUUCUGUCAAUUUCCUUGUGGACGAAGAAGAGCUAAGCGGCAGCAAGCACACUCUAGCUGGUUUGAUGUCAACUGGCGAUGAUAACGAAAUCAAGGAGGUAAAUAUUCAGUUAGCAAGUAAUGAUGGCGAAAGAAAGGAUGUAAAUAUUCAGUUAGCAAGUAAUGCUCCAAUAUAUUGAAAGCGGAAGAAGAAACUGAAGGCAAGACAAAAGAGGAAGAAGAAAUUACCACCGACAGUGGCGUCAGCAACCUCUUCAACAGGGCGUUUGCCUAAACUUAUCUCCCACCUCCGGGACUGGACAUCGACCACCAAAGAAGAGGAAGAGACCGUUCUGACGAAAACGUGCGAAGCCGAAGGGAAAAU